rnacentral:rRNA from 1 species
AGUGAACGCUGGCGGUAGGCCUAACACAUGCAAGUCGAACGGCAGCACAGGAGAGCUUGCUCUCUGGGUGGCGAGUGGCGGACGGGUGAGGAAUACAUCGGAAUCUGCCCAGUCGUGGGGGAUAACGUAGGGAAACUUACGCUAAUACCGCAUACGACCUUCGGGUGAAAGAGGGGGACCGCAAGACCUCUCGCGAUUGGAUGAGCCGAUGUCGGAUUAGCUAGUUGGCGGGGUAAUGGCCCACCAAGGCGACGAUCCGUAGCUGGUCUGAGAGGAUGAUCAGCCACACUGGAACUGAGACACGGUCCAGACUCCUACGGGAGGCAGCAGUGGGGAAUAUUGGACAAUGGGCGCAAGCCUGAUCCAGCCAUACCGCGUGGGUGAAGAAGGCCUUCGGGUUGUAAAGCCCUUUUGUUGAGAAAGAAAUCUUUCAGGCUAAUACCCUGGGAGGAUGACGGUACCCAAAGAAUAAGCACCGGCUAACUUCGUG